CCCUCUUCUUCCCUCUACCCCCUCCCCACCCCCCUUUCUCUUCUUCUAUCUCCUUUCCCUUCUCCUAUAACUCUAACAAAAAUGCUACAGGUACAGGAAACUUGUUACAGAAGGGUUACAAGGUUUCAAAUAAUGAUGAUGUGGCAUACUAAAAAAAAAAAAAAAAAUCAAUUUGAAAUCGUAUGUCCAUUUCCCCAAAUCCAAAGUCUUCCAUUUUCCCCCAAUUCACGCACGAAAUAUCUUCCCCAAACCAAUCUUCCUGUACUCCCGAUCACCGUCACCAUCGAUGGAUGCACCUCCUUCACCAUUGGUGCCAACAAGCUGCCUGGGAGCAGAAAAUCCGAUGCCGCAUUCACUAAGAUACCCCGACGCUGCACUCGCAUCCCUCCCCUGCCACACUCCAUCAGCCCGGAUCGACUAUAAUGAGAGGAAGGAAUUUAGGAGUUUGUCACGGUUGCAGAAGCAAAACUCAUUACUUUGGACAAUGCCCAACAAAGUGCCGAUGCCCUUCGUGUAAACAUGGAUAUCACAAGUGUUUUGAGGUGGAAUGGGAUACUAGUAACAAAGGGCAAUUGUUCUUCACCUGUAGUAAUGAUUGUGGAUAUUUCGAUUGGGUGAAAGAAGAAGUGCUAAGCGGGGAGUCAAGUUCCAUUAACGAAAUGGUGAAUCAUGAGUACAAUGUGGAAGAUGAAGAUUUGCCAAGACUCUUUGACGGUCUAGCUCGAAGUAGUGAGAAAUAAGGCGUGGACAUAUCAAUGCACUUGAGUUUUAGCAACGGAAAGGGCAUUGCGAAGUUCGAUGGGAAAGGAAAGGGUUUGACUUGAACGAUUUAUUUGAUGUAUGGGUAAUCUUGUCAAAAUUGGUCAUUGAUUGAUCGAUUGUUAUUGGAUUCGUCGUAAUAUAUGUUAUGGUUGCCAUAACCUUUACGAUAUAUUUGUUCUAGUUUUUAUUUGUGAACAUCUUGGCUGAAUCGUUUAACAAGAAAGGCUUGUGAUUAAAGUGUAUCUUGAAACUUUUGUAGUUAUUUUUGAAACCUUUCCCCAAGUGAGAUUAGGUACAGUUCGUUUUAAGAAUACAAAUGCAGGUUCAACCCGAGCCCUUUACCCAUCCUCCCUUCAUUUCUUAAACCUUCUUCCACUAUGCCACACUUCCUAAUCUAAAAUUUCUAACCUCUUUCAAAAAAUUAUAGAUUCCGAUUUGCAGUCCAAUAACAAUAAAGGCGUAUGCUUCCAGCGUGACGAGAAAUAUUUUAUUGGGCAUCAUUGUACAAACAUGGAAUUACUUGGGCAUGCAUUCAGCUUUGUAUCCAAUUUAAGGGAGCUCGACGACAGAAAGGGACAGGUUGCAGAUGAUGAACAUAAUUCUAUGUUAUUGUGCAGUCUUCAACGUUUGUUGUAUAUUGUGUCACUGGUUUAUAUUGUACAUCCACUCAGUUUUAGCUAUCUAGCCCAUUAUCCAUUUAUUGUU